AUGAAUUGUGUGGCACGUUUCAUUGAACAAACAUUACAUACGACAGACACUGAAUACCUGUUUGAAAAAGGGGGCUACACAAGGAUGAGGACUGGAUCUUGCCUUCAAGGAGCUCACAGUCUUCCUGGCAUUGGAGCUCUUUUUUUUGCACAUGGCCACCUCCUAAAUGAAAUCUCCCUUCCUUGGUGCCCAUUUGGUCUAAGUCAGCCUUUGACACCUGAGCUGGAUUCCUCUCUCAGCCGACGAUCCUGAGAUAAUUGAAGACAGUUAUGAUUCUCCUCUCCUGCUGACCCCGACCUCUCUUCUCUCUUCCCUUUUUAUUGAUUUGUGGUAUCAUUGUUAUUAUAUGUUUGAUUCAAAUGUAAAAUGGGGCCUAGUUCAAAUAUUCAUUGUAUUCCAUUUGUCUGCACAUGUCUCUUUGUACUGGUAUUAGGCGAUUUUAUUAAUUAUAGUCUUAUGAUAUGGCUUCAAAUUUGUCAAGGGUAGUUCUUCCCAAUAAUUAUUGUCUAAAUCAUCUUUGUAGUCCUUCUUUUUUCUUUUUUCUUUAAGAUUUCAUUUAUUCAUUUAACACAGAAGGAGAGAGAGAGAGAGAGAGAACACAAGCAGUGGGGUGGGGAGAGGGGCAAAGAGAGAAGCAGACUCCCCGCUGAGCAGGGAGCCUAAUGCAGGGCUCCUUCCCAGGAUCUUGGAAUCCCAACCUGAGGCAAAGGCAGAUGCCUAACCAGCUGAGUUAUCCAAGUGCCCCUCACCUUUGUAUUUCUCUAUUAAUCAAGAGGAAUUUUACAAUCAUUGCAUUUUUGAGAUAAACCCUACUUAGUCAUGGUGAAUUCUUCUUUUUUAGUAUACUAUUGAAUUUGACUUAUUACCAUUUUGUUCAGAAUUUUUAUACAAAUGUUAAUGUGGUAGAUUGAGCUAAAGUUACCCAUUUUUGGUAUUAUCUGUCAGAUUUUAAAAAUUAUUUAGCUUUACUAAGGUAUAAUUGACAAAAAUUAUACAUAAUUAAGGUGUAUAACAUGAAAUUUUGAUAUAAGUAUACAAUGUGAAUUAUCACAAUCAAGCUAAUUAAAAUAUCCAUCAGCUCCCUUUUUUGUGUGUGUAGCGAAA
rnacentral:lncRNA from 1 species